rnacentral:rRNA from 1 species
CGAGGAGACGCUGGCGGCGUGCCUAACACAUGCAAGUCGAACGAGGUCCAUCCUUCGGGAGAAGACCUAGUGGCGAACGGGUGAGUAACACGUGAAGAACCUGCCCCGAAGACCGGGAUAACCCUCCGAAAGGAGAGCUAAUACCGGAUACCCCCACCGAACCGCAUGGUUUGGUGAGGAAAUGGAUUCCGCUUCGGGAGGGCUUCGCGGCCUAUCAGCUAGUUGGUGGGGUAACGGCCCACCAAGGCAUCGACGGGUAGCUGGUCUGAGAGGACGAUCAGCCACACUGGGACUGAGACACGGCCCAGACUCCUACGGGAGGCAGCAGUGGGGAAUCUUGCGCAAUGGGCGAAAGCCUGACGCAGCAACGCCGCGUGGGGGAUGAAGGCUCUCGGGUUGUAAACCCCUUUCAGCAGGGACGAAUCAAGACGGUACCUGCAGAAGAAGCCCCGGCUAACUACGUG